rnacentral:rRNA from 1 species
GUACACGCUGUGACUAGCAUAUCAAUAAGCGGAGGAAAAGAAACUAACAAGGAUUCCCCUAGUAACGGCGAGUGAAGCGGGAAGAGCUCAAAUUUGAAAUCUUAAAGGGUUUCCCUUUACGAAUUGUAGUUUAAAGAAGUGUUUUCUGUUGAGGUUUUGGUAAAAGUUCUUUGGAAUAGGACAUCAUAGAGGGUGAGAAUCCCGUAUUUGACCUUUACUCUCAACUUUGUGAUACACUUUCAAAGAGUCGGAUUGUUUGGGAAUGCAGUCCAAAAUGGGUGGUAAAUUUCAUCUAAAGCUAAAUAUUGGCGAGAGACCGAUAGCGAACAAGUACCGUGAGGGAAAGAUGAAAAGAACUUUGAAAAGAGAGUUAAACAGUACGUGAAAUUGUCAAAAGGGAAGCGUUUGACACCAGUGUUGUUUUUCUGAAAAUCAAUUAAAGAACUGUUUAUGCUAAGUUGUUUAGACUUUAUCAGCUAUCUGUUUAGUUUUGAGCUUUUCUUUAAUGCACUUUUCAGUUAACAAGUCAACAUCAAUUUCUUUUGCUGUAAAAAAGCUUGAGGAAGGUGGCUUGAGAUUCGUCUUAAGUGUUUAUAGCCUCUUGCCUAUGCAGUCGGAGAGAUUGAGGUCUGCAGCGUAGAUCCUUCGGGGCUAAAUGCAUUUGUGCUAAGUUAUAGCAUUUUAUAGACAACUUGUUGACUAUGAUUUGUCUUGUAGCUUACUCGCUUAUGUUAUUUUACCUACGCUUAGGAUGUUGACAGCAGUAUAGACUGU